AUGCCCUGUUCCCAUUGGUCCAGAGACCUUAACCUUCAAACCCCAAAUCAGUUCCCCGGCUCUCAGUCGAUUUCUCCGCAACCCCUUCGAAGCCUACUUCCUAGGGGCCAAUCCCACUCCAGAUCUGGGGCCUCUCACUGGAUACCCUCUUCCGAGCAUCACUUUCUUCCUACUCAGACCCAGAAUUUCUCAAUCCCAGGCCACCACCCUCCUCCGUUAACUCCGCACCCCACCGUGGCCGCCUCUCUCCGCCCCCGCAGGCGGCCCCCCUUCCUCCCAGAGCUGCAGGCCAGGGCCCUCUCGGCUCCCUCGCCGCGGCCCCGGCUGCCGGGAGGGCGGCGGCCCGGCCACGCCGCGCAGGGACCGUCCCGGCAGAGGCGGCACCCCCGCCUCCGGGCGGCCGCAGCGGGGCGGGGGCGGGGCGGCUCGCAGGCCCCACCUCAGCGCAGCCCGGCCGUGGACUCCCGCAAACGGCGGCCGGGCUCGGAGGGGCCGCGGCCGAGCCGGCGACAGAGCCCGUGCUUCUCACCUCGACGCGGAAGCUCAGGCCUCGCUCUCCCCUCAGCGAUGGCUACGCCGCCGUCGCGCUCUCCUCACUCGCUUUUCACCGCCCCCGACCGGCUGCUGAAGAGCGGACAGACAGCGGUGCGCCCAUUGGCUGUGGCCGCUCUGGCGUCAGCGGGUCCCGACCGCGCCUCGGGGUCUGAUUGGCUGGCGCGGUGCCUCUUUUCCACGUCUGCUCCUGAUUGGCUCUCGCGCACACCCUUCCCGGGAGAACCGCUCACCCUCCACUCUUCUUCAGCCUCCCACCCCAAACCAGGUUCCCCCCGCGGGCGCGACGGCCAAUGGGGGAGCGGAGAGAUGCAGGGAGGUGGGCGGCUGGGCGGCGUGAUGGGGAAAAGCGUAGCCAAUGGGAGCGCGCCGCACAUCCCGGCUCAGCAGCGCCGCCCCUGGCCGCCAGCGUCCCGGAGGGUCGCGCCCCGAGCCACGCCCGAGUGCCCUGGCGCGGGAGCCCAACUCGCGCGAAAGCAGCUCUAUGAAAACUUUCAUUUGAAUUUCUUAGAAGAAAUUGAGACUCAGUGAAACACAUAACCUGCCCAAAAUUGCACAGCUGUUAGAUGGCAGAAGUGGGGUUAACAUUCAAGUUUAUUUAAUGGUAACUAGCAUAAUGGUGUUACUAUGCUCCAUGUGUCUCUUCCAUGACAAGAU
rnacentral:lncRNA from 1 species